CCAUCAAUUAAUUUUUAUAAAAGAACCAGAACCAUUUUGAAAAAGUUCAAUUGUCUUUUAAAUGAAAAUUAGAUAAAUAACUUCAUUUUAUUGGGAAAAAUUAUUAUGAUCUGAGAGAUAGACCUAGCAGGCUUUUUAGCCUUCAAUUAAAAAUAUCAAUCCUGCAGUACAGUCCCCAAAUCUUUCAUCCACAAAUGAGCAGAAUUCAGAGAACUGUACUAGAGAAUAACAAUUGACAAUGAUAUCUUUGUGAUUCCACAGUCUUUAGGAGAAAUUAGACUUUUUUAAACAAUAUAUCCUGACACUGACCAAAUAAAUAUUCAAGUUCUUAAAAACUCCAGGUACUGUCUUGACCCAACAAUUGAGAAGCUAAUGGGCUUUUCAAACAAUGAACAUUUCCCAUGAGCUUUAUGCCUUUCUAGAAUUCAGAUACAAUCUUGAGGCAAAUAAAGAAUAAAAAGAGCUCCUUUCUUUAUGACUAGGGUGUCAGCAUACAAAUGUGUAAGGAGGCUAUGUGAGUUCCUGAUUACUCUUUGUGGCAAUGUGACUGGUGAUACAAAGGGCACAGAAUGUCCGUGUUUUUACAGCUUUUCACAUUUUCAUUUCCACUAUUUUUCUUCAAAUCCCACAUAAAGGUCUGUAGCCCUGGGCAUCCUGUGCACCGGCUCCUAUUUUUUUAUUACUGUAAUAGCAUUUGUCAAUGCACAUUGAGUUAAUCUAAAGAAACAGAAACAUCUAGGAGCCCUGUAGAAAAUUUUACAACAGAGCCAACAGUGACCAACUCAUUUGUUCCCAUCUACUCAAAGGUGACAAUGGCCUCCAUUCCAAACAUGAUAAUCCCACUGAAACAAGACGGAAUGGACCAUUUUCUGAAGAGCAUCGCCUUUCUAGUUAAGGGAUGGAAGCAUUUGCUGAAAUGCGAUCUCUAUAAUAGCAAGAUAGAGACAGAGAGAGGGAGAGACAGAAAGAGAAGCUGAGAAACAUAGAGCGAAGUCGCCACUGCUGAGGUUACAGCAAGAGCUUUGCAUUCAACAUAUUCCUGUGCAUUUCUACAUGGUUAAAGUUUCCAAGAAAAACUUGGAGAAAUAGUCGUUGAUGGCAAUCUAGUUGAAAAAAAUGAGAAAUAAUACUUAGCCCUGUUAAUAUAGUACUAUUUUACUACAAAGUUUUUGUUUUUACUUCUGUCAAUCCCGUAUCACCUAUUGGCUCUACACAUUUUAAUUCGCUAUAUUUCUUAUCUUUCAAGUGAACAGUUUUUGAAAUGAAUGGUAAAAUGAACAAUUAUACAUCAAAAUGUUCAUCUAUGCAACAUGUUGCAUAUCAUGGUGGAACAUACCCGACUUUAAGGAACAGUGAUUUUAACAGGUGAACUCCUCACUAGGAACAAUGGAGGCAACUGUGAAGUUUGGACUUUAUUUAUUUAUUUAUUUGAAAGGCAGAGUUACAGAGAGAUGGAGAGAUAGACAUAGACAGAGAUAGAGAGAGAGAGAGAGACAGAGAGAGAGAGAGGUCUUCCAUCUGCUGGUUCACUCCCCAAAUAGCCACAAUGGCUGGAACUGGGCCGAUCUGAAGCCAGGAGCUUCUUCCGGGUCUCCCACAUGAGUGCAAGGGCCCAAGGACUUGGGCCAUCCUCCACUGCUUUCCCAGGCCAUUAGCAGGGAGCUGGAUCGCAAGUGGAGCAGAUAGGACUCGAACUGGCACCCAGAUGGGAGGCCAGCACCACAGGCAGGGGCUUAACCUACUAUGCCACAGUGUCGGCCCCUCUCUUAGCCCUUGAGCCCUGAGUUCCUCGCCUGAAGAUGUGAGGGACAGACAAGGAGUGACAGACUCGUGGUACUGCUGCAGUUUGCCAUCUCCUUCCGUAACAAUCGCCUUCAACAGCCAUCAGAUGUGUGUCUCAUUCGUUCUUUCAGCUGCUCUGAGGCAAAUGCAGCUGUAGCAGCCAUCGUGCUGUCCUUUUACCUAUUGUGUCCGCUGUAGUGAUUUUCAAGUACGUAUUACGAACGUCCAUGAAUCUACCACGUAACUCCAGUCAUAUCAACAUCUCACUAACCUCACUUAUUCAAGCAUAUUUAUUGUAAAGGGUAUAUGCAAAAAAUAAAAUGGAAUAUAGUUAAUGCCA
rnacentral:lncRNA from 1 species